rnacentral:rRNA from 1 species
AACGAACGCUGGCGGCAUGCCUAACACAUGCAAGUCGAACGAGACCUUCGGGUCUAGUGGCGCACGGGUGCGUAACGCGUGGGAACCUGCCCUUAGGUUCGGCAUAACUCCCCGACAGGGGUGCUAAUACCGGAUAAUGUCUUCGGACCAAAGAUUUAUCGCCUUUGGAUGGGCCCGCGUUGGAUUAGCUAGUUGGUAGGGUAAAAGCCUACCAAGGCGACGAUCCAUAGCUGGUCUGAGAGGAUGAUCAGCCACACUGGGACUGAGACACGGCCCAGACUCCUACGCGAGGCAGCAGUGGGGAAUAUUGGACAAUGGGCGAAAGCCUGAUCCAGCUAUGCCGCGUGAGUGAUGAAGGCCUUAGGGUUGUAAAGCUCUAUUACCCGGGAUGAUAAUGACAGUACCGAGAGAAUAAGCUCCGGCUAACUCCGUG